AUGGCGACCGGCGCACGGGUGAGUAACACGUAUCCAACCUUCCGUUUACUCAGGGAUAGCCUUUCGAAAGAAAGAUUAAUACCUGAUAGUAUGGUGAGAUUGCAUGAUAGCACCAUUAAAGAUUUAUUGGUAAACGAUGGGGAUGCGUUCCAUUAGGUAGUAGGCGGGGUAACGGCCCACCUAGCCGACGAUGGAUAGGGGUUCUGAGAGGAAGGUCCCCCACAUUGGAACUGAGACACGGUCCAAACUCCUACGGGAGGCAGCAGUGAGGAAUAUUGGUCAAUGGGCGAGAGCCUGAACCAGCCAAGUAGCGUGAAGGAUGAAGGUCCUACGGAUUGUAAACUUCUUUUAUACGGGAAUAAAGUAUCCUACGUGUAGGAUUUUGUAUGUACCGUAUGAAUAAGCAUCGGCUAACUCCGUGCCAGCAGCCGCGGUAAUACGGAGGAUGCGAGCGUUAUCCGGAUUUAUUGGGUUUAAAGGGAGCGCAGACGGGAGAUUAAGUCAGUUGUGAAAGUUUGCGGCUCAACCGUAAAAUUGCAGUUGAUACUGGUUUCCUUGAGUGCAGUUGAGGCAGGCGGAAUUCGUGGUGUAGCGGUGAAAUGCUUAGAUAUCACGAAGAACCCCGAUUGCGAAGGCAG
rnacentral:rRNA from 1 species